rnacentral:rRNA from 1 species
CUACGGGGCGCUGCAGUAGGGAAUCUUAGACAAUGGGGGAAACCCUGAUCUAGCCAUGCCGCGUGAGUGAUGAAGGCCUUAGGGUUGUAAAGCUCUUUCGCUGGGGAAGAUAAUGACGGUACCCAGUAAAGAAACCCCGGCUAACUCCGUGCCAGCAGCCGCGGUAAUACGGAGGGGGUUAGCGUUGUUCGGAAUUACUGGGCGUAAAGCGCGCGUAGGCGGGCUAUUAAGUCAGGGGUGAAAUCCCGGGGCUCAACCCCGGAACUGCCUUUGAUACUGGUAGUCUUGAGUUCGAGAGAGGUGAGUGGAAUUCCGAGUGUAGAGGUGAAAUUCGUAGAUAUUCGGAGGAGCAUCAGUGGCGAAGGCGACUCACUGGCUCGAUACUGACGCUGAGGUGCGAAAGUGUGGGGAGCAAACAGGAUUAGAUACCCGUGUAGUC